rnacentral:misc_RNA from 1 species
AAUCCAUAUAGCCGACCUCAAAUAUUUGGGGUAAAGGCUUAGUUGAGUUGAGUAGGCUGUCUGGUAUACAAGAAGUGGAACUAAUGGUUAAUCUAGUGUACAUGCAACACAGCUUUAGGAAGAGAUUGGUGAUGGGUUGGAAGAGUUCUACAAGUUAUGAAUUAUGGCAUGGUUGUGAGUGUGGAUGAUGGGAAAUAAUUAAUGAGUCAUGGUGUUAACUUAUUAUGUCCCAUGUAGAGAAUCAAAUGCUUCAGUAUAUACAUGUGAUAAAUUAGUGGUAGAAGGAGUGAAAAAAAAAGGGAGAGACUUAAAAUGACGUUAUAGGGAAGUAGUAUCAAAAUAUUUAUAAUUU